rnacentral:rRNA from 1 species
UACAGAGGAGCCAAGCGUUGUCCGGAUUGACUGGGCGUAAAGCGCACGCAGGCGGCAUCGCGCGUGGGGUGUGAAAUCUGGCCGCUUAACGGCCAGGCGCCAUCCCAUACGGCGAGGCUGGAGCGAUGCAGAGGUCGGUGGAAUUGCCGGUGUAGUGGUGAAAUGCGUAGAGAUCGGCAGGAACACCCAGGGGGAAACCGAGCC